rnacentral:rRNA from 1 species
AGUGAACGCUGGCGGUAGGCCUAACACAUGCAAGUCGAACGGCAGCACAGUAAGAGCUUGCUCUUACGGGUGGCGAGUGGCGGACGGGUGAGGAAUACAUCGGAAUCUACUUUUUCGUGGGGGAUAACGUAGGGAAACUUACGCUAAUACCGCAUACGACCUACGGGUGAAGGCAGGGGAUCUUCGGACCUUGCGCGAUUGAAUGAGCCGAUGUCGGAUUAGCUAGUUGGCGGGGUAAAGGCCCACCAAGGCGACGAUCCGUAGCUGGUCUGAGAGGAUGAUCAGCCACACUGGAACUGAGACACGGUCCAGACUCCUACGGGAGGCAGCAGUGGGGAAUAUUGGUCAAUGGGCGCAAGCCUGAUCCAGCCAUACCGCGUGGGUGAAGAAGGCCUUCGGGUUGUAAAGCCCUUUUGUUGGGAAAGAAAAGCAGCAGGUUAAUACCCCGCUGUUCUGACGGUACCCAAAGAAUAAGCACCGGCUAACUUCGUG